GCGGAAGGAUCAUUAUCGAAAAGCAAUCCGGGGGGGAGGCGACCGAGC
rnacentral:rRNA from 1 species